rnacentral:rRNA from 1 species
UCAUGCAGUCGACGAGAAGUCACCUUCGGGUGACGAGUACAGUGGCGAACGGGUGAGCAACACGUGGGCAACCUGCCCCUGGGUUGGGAAUAACACUUCCAACGAAGUGCUAAUACCGAAUGACAAGGCGAGUUGAUGACUCGUUUUUAAAGGUGGCCUCUACUUGUAAGCUGCCGCCUAGGGAUGGGCCCGCGUCGUAUUAGCUUGUUGGUAGGGUAAUGGCCUACCAAGGCGACGAUGCGUAGCCGGCCUGAGAGGGUGAACGGCCACACUGGCACUGAGAUAAGGGCCAGUCUCCUACGGGAGCCAGCAGUCUAGAAAUUUGCACAAUCGCCGAAAGGCGGAUGCAGCGACACCACGUGGAGGAUGAAGCCCCUCGGGGUGUAAACUCCUGUCAGAAGGGAAGAAGGCGCGAGCGUUAAUACCGCUCGUUGCUUGACGGUACCUUCAGAGGAAGCUCCGGCUAACUACGUGCCAGCAGCCGCGGUAAUACGUAGGGAGCGAGCGUUGUUCGGAUUUACUGGGCGUAAAGGGCACGUAGGCGGGUAUGCAAGUCGGUUGUGAAAUCCUCUGGCUCAACCAGAGAACUGCAGCCGAAACUGCACACCUUGAGUCCAGCAGAGGGAAUCGGAAUCCCAGGUGUAGCGGUGAAAUGCGUAGAUAUCUGGGAGAACAUCAGUGGCGAAGCGGAUUCCUGGGCUGGUACUGACGCUGAGGUGCGAAAGCUAAAGGAGCGAACAGGAUUAGAUACCCUGGUAGUCUUAGCCGUAAACGAUGGGUACUAGUGUUGGGGGACAUUGACCCCCUCAGUGCCGUAGCUAACGCAUUAAGUACCCCGCCUGGGAGUA